rnacentral:rRNA from 1 species
AACGAACGCUGGCGGCAUGCCUAACACAUGCAAGUCGAACGAAGGCUUCGGCCUUAGUGGCGCACGGGUGCGUAACGCGUGGGAAUCUGCCCUUGGGUUCGGAAUAACUCAGAGAAAUUUGAGCUAAUACCGGAUGAUGACGUAAGUCCAAAGAUUUAUCGCCCAAGGAUGAGCCCGCGUAAGAUUAGCUAGUUGGUGGGGUAAAGGCCUACCAAGCCUGCGAUCUAUAGCUGGUCUGAGAGGAUGAUCAGCCACACUGGGACUGAGACACGGCCCAGACUCCUACGGGAGGCAGCAGUGGGGAAUAUUGGACAAUGGGGGAAACCCUGAUCCAGCAAUGCCGCGUGAGUGAUGAAGGCCUCGGUUGUAAGACUCUUUAUUCAGGAAGAUGAUGACGGUACCUGAUGAAUAAGACU